AUUGAACGCUGGCGGCAGGCCUAACACAUGCAAGUCGAGCGAGCGGCGGACGGGUGAGUAAUGUAUGGGGAUCUGCCCGAUGGAGGGGGAUAACUACUGGAAACGGUGGCUAAUACCGCAUACUAUCGGAUGUACCCAUAUGGGAUUAGCUAGUAGGUGGGGUAAAGGCUCACCUAGGCGACGAUCUCUAGCUGGUCUGAGAGGAUGAUCAGCCACACUGGAACUGAGACACGGCCCAGACUCCUACGGGAGGCAGCAGUGGGGAAUAUUGCACAAUGGGCGCAAGCCUGAUGCAGCCAUGCCGCGUGAAUGAAGAAGGCCUUCGGGUUGUAAAGUUCUUUCGGUAGCGAGGCGUUAACUACAGAAGAAGCACCGGCUAACUCCGUGCCAGCAGCCGCGGUAAUAC
rnacentral:rRNA from 1 species